rnacentral:rRNA from 1 species
CGAAAGCCUGACGGAGCAAGACCGCGUGGGGGAGGAAUGCCUUAGGGUUGUAAACCCCUUUUAUCUGGGAAGAACAAAAUGACGGUACCAGAUGAAUAAGCCUCGGCUAACUCCGUGCCAGCAGCCGCGGUAAUACGGAGGAGGCAAGCGUUAUCCGGAUUUAUUGGGCGUAAAGCGUUCGCAGGUGGUUCUUCAAGUCUGCUGUUAAAGACAGUGGCUCAACUCUGGUCAGGCAGUGGAAACUACAUAGCUAGAGUUCGGUAGGGGCAAAGGGAAUUCCCGGUGUAGCGGUGAAAUGCGUAGAGAUCGGGAAGAACAUCGGUGGCGAAAGCGCUCUGCUGGGCCGCAACUGACACUCAGGGACGAAAGCUAGGGGAGCG